GGAAAGGAUCAGGUAUUCAGCUGAUUUCUGCUAAAUUAGGGAAAGUCAAGCUAGUUUCCUUCAGCCAAGAAUCUGACCUGGUGUCUCUUUGUUUGGGAUUACACGCAUUUUUCUGACAGGCAGACAUGUAGCUUGAUUUAACAACUUCUCAUGCUGCUUCUCUCCUUUCUAUAUUUGUACUAAACAUCAGUUGAAUCCUUUGAAUAUUCAUAUUGAGUUUACAUGUCCUUACUUUUCACAUUCAGGUUUUGAAUAAUUAUAUUCUGAGAACUUCAUCAGAGGCAGCAAAAUAAUUUGCAAAUCUGAGGAGCCUUGUGUACUCUCUGUUACCUUGAGGCCAUAGUACUUCAGCUCAUAUUUUCUGAAGCUUUGCUGCUGGCAGAAGGAACUGUGUGAGGAAGACAGAACAACCAGAAAAUUACAACUUCCAAGAGACACUGUACAAAGACACUGUUUUCUCCUUUUCACUGUGGUGGAGCAAAACAUCGUGUGUUGCACAGUGACAUCUCCUGCUCUGCCCUGCUCUGCAAAACUCUCUACUCUGUCCAGCUGGGGCCCAAAGAAA
rnacentral:lncRNA from 1 species